rnacentral:rRNA from 1 species
GACGAACGCUGGCGGCGUGCUUAACACAUGCAAGUCGAACGGUGAUGCUCCAGCUUGCUGGUGUGGAUCAGUGGCGAACGGGUGAGUAACACGUGAGCAACCUGCCCCAGACUCUGGAAUAAGCGCUGGAAACUGCGUCUAAUACUGGAUACGAAACUGGCCCGCAUGGGCAUGGUUUGGAAAGUUUUUCGGUUUGGGGUGGGCUCGCGGCCUAUCAGCUUGUUGGUGAGGUAAUGGCUCACCAAGGCGACGACGGGUAGCCGGCCUGAGAGGGCGACCGGCCACACUGGGACUGAGACACGGCCCAGACUCCUACGGGAGGCAGCAGUGGGGAAUAUUGCACAAUGGGCGCAAGCCUGAUGCAGCGACGCCGCGUGAGGGAUGACGGCCUUCGGGUUGUAAACCUCUUUCAGCAGGGAAGAAGCGAAAGUGACGGUACCUGCAGAAGAAGCACCGGCUAACUACGUG